rnacentral:rRNA from 1 species
UAAAGUGGCGUACGGGUGAGUAACACGUGGAUAACCUGCCCUUUAGUGGGGAAUACCGUUGGGAAACCGACGACAAUACCGCAUAAGCUCGAGAGAGGAAAGCAGCAAUGCGCUGAAGGAGGGGUCCGCGGCCGAUUAGCUAGUUGGUAGGGUAAUGGCCUACCAAGGCUUUGAUCGGUAGCCGGCCUGAGAGGGCACACGGCCACACUGGCACUGAAACACGGGCCAG